GACGAACGCUGGCGGCGUGCUUAACACAUGCAAGUCGAACGGAAAGGCCCUGAUUUUGUGGGGUGCUCGAGUGGCGAACGGGUGAGUAACACGUGAGUAACCUGCCCUUGACUUUGGGAUAACUUCAGGAAACUGGGGCUAAUACCGGAUAGGAGAUGCUGCUGCAGGGUGGGGGUUGGAAAGUUGAGGCGGUUGGGGAUGGACGCGCGGCUUAUGAGCUUGUUGGUGGGGGAGGGGCUUACCAAGGCUUUGAAGGGUAGCCCGCAUGAGAGGGUGGCCGGGCACAUUGGUACUGAGAGACGGCCCAGUCGCGUACGUUAGGCAGCAGUGGGGAAUAUUGCACAACGGGCGGAAGUCUGAUGCGGAAGCGUUGCGGUUGUAAUGACGGCCUUCUGGUUGUAAACCGCUUUCGCCUGUUACGAAGCGUUAGUGACGGUAAUGGGAAAAGAAGCACCGGCUAACUACGUG
rnacentral:rRNA from 1 species